rnacentral:rRNA from 1 species
GGAGGAAAAGAAACCAACAGGGAUUGCCUCAGUAACGGCGAGUGAAGCGGCAAUAGCUCAAAUUUGAUAUCAGGCUCUUUGAGAGUCCGAGUUGUAAUUGGUAGAGGAUGUUUCGGCUUACGCCCCGGUCUAAGUUCCUUGGAACAGGACGUCACAGAGGGUGAGAAUCCCGUUUGUGGCCGGCGGCUUCUGCCAUGUGAAGCUCCUUCGACGAGUCGAGUUGUUUGGGAAUGCAGCUCUAAAUGGGAGGUAUAUUUCUUCUAAAGCUAAAUACCGGCCAGAGACCGAUAGCGCACAAGUAGAGUGAUCGAAAGAUGAAAAGCACUUUGGAAAGAGAGUUAAAAAGUACGUGAAAUUGUUGAAAGGGAAGCGCUUGCGACCAGACUUGCCCGCGGAUGCUCAACCGGUCCUUCGGCCGGUGCACUCUUCCGCGGUCAGGCCAGCAUCAGUUUAGGCGGUUGGAUAAAGGCCUUGGGAAUGUAUCUCCUCUAGGGGAGUGUUAUAGCCCUUGGUGCAAUACAACCUGCCUGGACUGAGGCCCGCGCUUCGGCUAGGA